UAUCUACAGGCUUAACACAUGCAAGUCGAGGGGCAGCAUGGUCUUAGCUUGCUAAGGCCGAUGGCGACCGGCGCACGGGUGAGUAACACGUAUCCAACCUGCCGUCUACUCUUGGACAGCCUUCUGAAAGGAAGAUUAAUACAAGAUGGCAUCAUGAGUCCGCAUGUUCACAUGAUUAAAGGUAUUCCGGUAGACGAUGGGGAUGCGUUCCAUUAGAUAGUAGGCGGGGUAACGGCCCACCUAGUCUUCGAUGGAUAGGGGUUCUGAGAGGAAGGUCCCCCACAUUGGAACUGAGACACGGUCCAAACUCCUACGGGAGGCAGCAGUGAGGAAUAUUGGUCAAUGGGCGAGAGCCUGAACCGGCCAAGUAGCGUGAAGGAUGACUGCCCUAUGGGUUGUAAACUUCUUUUAUAAAGGAAUAAAGUCGGGUAUGCAUACCCGUUUGCAUGUACUUUAUGAAUAAGGAUCGGCUAACUCCGUGCCAGCAGCCGCGGUAAUACGGAGGAUCCGAGCGUUAUCCGGAUUUAUUGGGUUUAAAGGGAGCGUAGAUGGAUGUUUAAGUCAGUUGUGAAAGUUUGCGGCUCAACCGUAAAAUUGCAGUUGAUACUGGAUAUCUUGAGUGCAGUUGAGGCAGGCGGAAUUCGUGGUGUAGCGGUGAAAUGCUUAGAUAUCACGAAGAACUCCGAUUGCGAAGGCAGCCUGCUAAGCUGCAACUGACAUUGAGGCUCGAAAGCGUGGGUAUCAAACAGGAUUAGAUACCCUGGUAGUCCACACGGUAAACGAUGAAUACUCGCUGUUUGCGAUAUACAGCAAGCGGCCAAGCGAAAGCGUUAAGUAUUCCACCUGGGGAGUACGCCGGCAACGGUGAAACUCAAAGGAAUUGACGGGGGCCCGCACAAGCGGAGGAACAUGUGGUUUAAUUCGAUGAUACGCGAGGAACCUUACCCGGGCUUAAAUUGCAGAUGAAUUACGGUGAAAGCCGUAAGCCGCAAGGCAUCUGUGAAGGUGCUGCAUGGUUGUCGUCAGCUCGUGCCGUGAGGUGUCGGCUUAAGUGCCAUAACGAGCGCAACCCUUGUUGUCAGUUACUAACAGGUUCCGCUGAGGACUCUGACAAGACUGCCAUCGUAAGAUGUGAGGAAGGUGGGGAUGACGUCAAAUCAGCACGGCCCUUACGUCCGAGGCUACACACGUGUUACAAUGGGGGGUACAGAGGGCCGCUACCACGCGAGUGGAUGCCAAUCCCAAAAACCUCUCUCAGUUCGGACUGGAGUCUGCAACCCGACUCCACGAAGCUGGAUUCGCUAGUAAUCGCGCAUCAGCCACGGCGCGGUGAAUACGUUCCCGGGCCUUGUACACACCGCCCGUCAAGCCAUGGGAGCCGGGGGUACCUGAAGUGCGUAACCGCGAGGAGCGCCCUAGGGUAAAACUGGUGACUGGGGC
rnacentral:rRNA from 1 species